AAAUUAAAAUAUUCAAUGUCAACAUGGAGAGAGUUAAAAUAUCCAACAUGUGUCAGUAUAUGAGAAAUGUCUUUAAGUUUAUAAAUGCUGAUAAAGAAGAGAGAAAUAGAAAAAUAUGAAGAAAAAAAAUUUAAGGUGUGUAAGCUCAUUUAAACUUGCUUAGGAAGAUAUUAUUUAGAAGACCUAGUCAUUGUAAGAUCAUUUCAACUUUUCUUUUUUAUAAGUGCUUGAUGAAUCACUUGUCUCUCUCCCUAUCCAAACCGGCUCUUACUAAAGGAUGUUAAGAAUCACUAUAGUAGAAAUUGGAUUCAGUUAGUCACUAAAUGCACGUAAUUAUGCAAUCAAUAAUUGUUGACUGUUCGAUCUAGAUCAAAAGGCCCGAAUCUCAAAUAGUUUUAAUUUUUUUAAAAACUAAAAUUAUUGAACAAGAGAUCUAGAUUGUCGAAUUCAUUGACUACGUGAAUGCGUGCAGUAAGUGACUGCACCGAAUCCUUAACUAAUAGUGCCUAAUUGCUUUUGCAUUUAUUGAGAAUAGCACUUCUAGAAAGUGUUUCUUGCUACUUUGUUCCGAGUAAACAUCAUUGAUGUUUCGCUCAAACUCCUACUUUUGAUAGGACGUAUUUUAUAAAGAUUUUGUUCCAAGCAAUGUUAUCGACUGCGGAUGGUAGACCAUGGCAAAAAGCCAAAAAAACCCACCAUUUUAAGCCGCCAUAUCAGCUAUAAAAUGCCAUGGCGCAGCCACCCUUAACAAAUUGUUCGUGGUGGUUGUAAAAAAAAUCUGCCACUACAAUCCCUUAUGGCACUGCCAAGAAAGCAGGGCCUAAGGAGAUGAAGCAUAUGAAAGCUUUUAGAGCAAACACUGGACCGUAAUCACUGAUAGUGAAUCAAACUAUUGAUGUUACUUUCAAGUUCCAAUUCCAUGGGAUGCUGAAAAAGUAUUGAGAAGAAGUUCGAAGGAUUGAAGACUUCAAGCCACAAUGCCAUUAGCAUAGGAGUGGGGGAACAUUGUAAUUCAUUCUCAUUGAAUACAAACAGAAGGUUUAUUACAUUUUUUAGGUCUUUUGUAGUUUUUGAA